rnacentral:rRNA from 1 species
GACGAACGCUGGCGGCGUGGAUUAGGCAUGCAAGUCGAACGGUAUCAUCCUUUCGGGGGUGAGAGAGUGGCGAACUGGUGAGUAACACGUAGGUUAUCUACCCUCAAGACGGGGACAACCCAGGGAAACUUGGGCUAAUACCGGAUGUGAGCAACUUUUAGUUGUUUGAAAGGUGGCGUAAGCUGUCGCUUGGGAUGGGCCCGCGUCCCAUUGGCUAGUUGGUGAGGUAACGGCUCACCAAGGCGACGAUGGGUAGCCGGCCUGAGAGGGUGGACGGCCACACUGGGACUGAGACACGGCCCAGACUCCUACGGGAGGCAGCAGUAGGGAAUAUUGCGCAAUGGACGGAAGUCUGACGCAGCGACGCCGCGUGAGCGAUGAAGGUCUUCGGAUCGUAAAGCUCUGUCCUUGGGGAAGAAGGUCUUCGGACUUGACGGUACCCAAGAAGAAAGCCCGGCUAACUACGUG